GGAGCCAUAGCUCAGGGGUCAAGAGCACUGGCUGCUCUUCCAGAGGACCUGGGUUCAGUUCCCAGCGGCCA
rnacentral:tRNA from 1 species